rnacentral:antisense_RNA from 1 species
CGGCGCUUGAGGCUUUUUGCCUCAUUAACGCAGGGUAGUGAAGUGGUGUUGUGCGGCAGAAAGAAGAAAGCCCCGAAGGUAAUUUUUCAAUUAACCAACGAGGCUACCUCUGAUGCAUGAACAACAUCAGAAUAGCCUCUUACCUGUCGCAAGACAAGGAGAAGAAAGCAUG